rnacentral:rRNA from 1 species
UUAUCGGAGAGUUUGAUCCUGGCUCAGGACGAACGCUGGCGGCGUGCCUAAUACAUGCAAGUCGAGCGGACAGAUGGGAGCUUGCUCCCUGAUGUUAGCGGCGGACGGGUGAGUAACACGUGGGUAACCUGCCUGUAAGACUGGGAUAACUCCGGGAAACCGGGGCUAAUACCGGAUGCUUGAUUGAACCGCAUGGUUCAAUUAUAAAAGGUGGC